rfam:Pseudomonas mendocina ymp, complete genome.
CCUCUUCGAUCUGUUGCGGGCAGAUGAAGUGGAUAUGGGUGUCAAUGCCGCCGGCGGUGAGGAUCAUGCCUUCACCGGCGAUCACCUCGGUGCCAGCGCCGAUGGCGAUGGUCACGUCCGGCUGGAUAUCCGGGUUGCCGGCCUUGCCGAUGGCGGCGAUACGGCCGUCCUUGAGGCCGACGUCGGCCUUGACGAUGCCCCAGUGGUCGAUGAUCAGUGCGUUGGUGAUCAGGGUGUCGACCACGUCGGCAGCGCACAGCUGGCCCUGGCCCAUGCCGUCGCGAAU